rnacentral:rRNA from 1 species
GAUGAACGCUGGCGGCGUGCUUAACACAUGCAAGUCGAACGAUGAAGCCCAGCUUGCUGGGUGGAUUAGUGGCGAACGGGUGAGUAACACGUGAGUAACCUGUCCUUAACUCUGGGAUAAGCCUGGGAAACUCGGUCUAAUACCGGAUAGGAGCGUCCCCCGCAUGGUGGGUGUUGGAAAGAUUUAUCGGUUUUGGAUGGACUCGCGGCCUAUCAGCUUGUUGGUGAGGUAAUGGCUCACCAAGGCGCCGACGGGUAGCCGGCCUGAGAGGGUGACCGGCCACACUGGGACUGAGACACGGCCCAGACUCCUACGGGAGGCAGCAGUGGGGAAUAUUGCACAAUGGGCGGAAGCCUGAUGCAGCAACGCCGCGUGAGGGAUGACGGCCUUCGGGUUGUAAACCGCUUUCAGUAGGGAAGAAGCGAAAGUGACGGUACCUGCAGAAGAAGCACCGGCUAACUACGUG